ensembl:lncRNA
CAGAGAAAGACUGAGAGAUAUAUACAAAGAGAGAGAGAGAGAGAAACGAAGAGAGAGACAGACAGCAAGAGAGGACGAAAGAGACAGACAGAGACAGAGAGAUAUAUACAAAGAGAGAGAGAGAGAGACAGAGAGACAGACAGAGAGAGAGACAGAGAGAGACACUCACACACAGUUGGUUGUUCCUCACAGAGGUUAAUGUAUGUUUAGUGGAGUUGUAUAUACACCGUGUUGUUGUAGUUACACUGUAAACGGUGUUCACGUGUGUUCACGUGUGUACACGGUGUAAACGGUGUUCACGUGUGUUCACGUGUGU